rnacentral:rRNA from 1 species
CACGGGGGUUGCGAGCGUUGUCCCGAAUUACUAGGCGUAAAGGGCAGGCAGGCGGAUCCAUAAGUUUAUCGUUUAAGGCGUCGGCUUAACCGGCGUAGGGCGGUAGAUACUGUGGAUCUGGAAUGCGGUUGGGGAAGACAGAAUUCCUGGUGUAGCGGUGGAAUGCGCAGAGAUCAGGAGGAAUACCGAAGGCGAAGGCAGUCUUCCAAGCCGUUAUUGACGCUCAACUGCGAAGGUGUGGGUAUCAAACAGGAUUAGAUACCCCCGUAGUCCCUGAGCGGG